CUGUAUAUAUAUGCUGGUUUUGCCUUCCUUUCAGAUGCUGAUAUGACCCAUCGUCUGUGACUCCCUGAUAGCCCUCCUGUUUCACCACUUGUUGACUGGUUUUCAUUCACUCAUCUGGACUUUUAAAUAUUUAUCUGAACUGUUAAUUUUCUUGUGUAUAUGGGUGAAUGUGGAUUUUCACUGUUUCACACAAUAACAUUAUUCACAUCUGCACUAAUGUUUGUUUUAAAUGUUCCUUUAGGAAGUUGGACCUCAACACGCUUUCUGUAGCCAUCAAUAAUUUCUAUCCCAAUACCAGCUUCAUGUUUAAUCACUAUUCUAAUCAGCAGAAUUAAAAUGAGAGUAUUUAAGGACUCAAAUUUUUUGCAAAAUGUUUGGUACUUUGUAAUCUAUUCUAAAACCAGUUUUGGUGUUCUUUGAGGAUGUCUGUCCUGUUUCUGCUGUUAAUCUUGGAAUCUGCAAGAAUUUUGAGAAUGUGGCUGUAAAAUAGUUCCCAGGCUUAUGUAGACAUUCUUAGAUCUUCAGUGAAUUUCUUUCACUUUUCAACUUUUCUGGCUAUUAGCCAAUCAAAUGUGUGCUCUCAAACAAGUUACUACAUCCUCAACCUGGUCAGGAUGGAAUAUAUUCUAUGACCUUCAGCACCACUUAGUAAUACAAUGAGGAUUUUCACUGACUGGUUAAAGUCAGUUAAAAAAACUAAAAAGAGGAGGUCUUAUCAGCUGAUCCUGCACAGCUGAUUACACAGAGCAAAUUCAGGCAGGAGUUUAUUGUAAAUCACAUGCUUGACAGGAAAUGAAAGCAAAAUCAUCAGAGCCUCAGCUGUCUGAGUCUGCAGACAACAUCCAAGAUCGACAACGAUUUUAUGUUUUGUUUUCACAUCCUGCCAGGCCUUUGUGAGCCAUCAUCAGGAUCUUUGUAAAGGCUUGUGUUUGCUGAAACUUGUCACCGGUUCCAUUGUCAGACAUGGCAGCUGCUGGGCUCUCUGAGGAUCAUCCACUCUGCUGCAUCUGCCUGGAUGUGUUCACCCGGCCGGUGGCUCUGCCGUGUCAGCACCACUUCUGCUGGACCUGCAUCACCAAACACUGGGACAACGCUGACAGAUGGCAGUGUCCCCUGUGUAACAGGGGCUUCACCAGCAGACCAGAGCUUCAGGUUAACACAAGAAUGUCUAAACUAAGUGAUCAGUUGGAGCUGCCGGCUCAGCAGACUGCCUGCUGCAGCUUGGAACCACGGCCUGAUGCAGGACAGGUUGUGUGUUGCGUCUGCUCCGAGGAGGCCCAGAUGUCCUGCCUGGUGUGUCUCAGCUCCUACUGCGAGACCCAUCAGGUUUUCCAUCAGAGGAUCCCAGGCCUGAGGAGACACACUCUGCUGGACCCUGUGGACGGACUGGAGGACAAAAUGUGCAACAAGUAUCAAAAAGCUUCAGAGAAGCUUAUGUGCCAUCGUGGCCUUUUUGUGUUGCUUGCAUGUUUUAUUUUAAUAAUUGCUGUUUGUUAUUUUGUAUUUAUUUAAUUUUGUUGUUUUUACUGAACUAUUUGGAUUCAUCUGGGUUUGUUGAUUAACUUCUUUUUUUUGCAUAUUUUUCUGUCCACCGUCCAGAAGCUCCCUGCCUCUCCGGAGACAGAAACUUGCCAUGAUGUUCGUCAUUCACUCCAAUUUUUAUCUUAUGGAAAACUGUUAGCCUCGCGGAAAGUGCUCUUUAAUUUAAUUUUUAGAAGGUUAAGUUUUGAUUCUGCUGAGCAGGUUAGACCACUAGAGGGCAGGAUGUUCUUGGGAAUCUUUUAAACUAUAAAUUAUGUAUAAUAUGAGCAGCCUUGCAAUUCUUUUACAUUUAUAAACUUAAACUAUUUUCUAGCUGGUUACUGAUAUGAUCUAGUACCUCACAGCAACAAGAGGCCAAAUCAGGAGAAGUAGUGUGUUACGUCUGCGCUGAAACCAAAUCAAAAUCUAGGAAGUGUGUGUGUACUUCAGGGACAAAAGAAAA